AAUCAUCAUAAUUUAAUAAUUUGUUAUUAGAUCCUAGUAAUAUUUCAGAAAUUUUCUUUAUAAGGAUCAAUGAAAUAUGAACUUUGUAGUCUAUGUUAAAUAAUUGUCUUAUCUUAAUACUUGAAUUAUAUUUUAUUAACGAGUAAAGAAAGGAAAAUUUAAAAGGCAUACGUAUAAGAAAAUUCAAAGAGGUAUAACUUAAUGUAAACGAGACUAUUCAGGAUCUAAACUCUAAACAGCAGCCACAUGGAACGUUCACGCUUGUCAGAAUAAAUUAACGGAAUAAAAGUCAACGAUACCCUAAUGAUACCAUUGUGCUUCUAUGUUCUGGCAAUUUAUGCGCAUUUGAGAAUUUUCGACGAACCAAAACGGACGUUAUGCGUUGAAUAGCCGUGAAAGUGAACCCUCCGCCAGACACAAGACAAUCUUUCUCGUAUCCCUGAAAAGGGUCUACAAGAAUUUUGAAAGAAAUUCGAGCGACUGAAAAUCGAAAACUGUAAUAGCUUCAAUAUGUUGGGAAUAUAUAAGAUGAUCUAUAUUUACAAAAUGAAAAAGAAUGCAUAUAAAAUGAGGUUAGAAACUUUGUCGAUUUGAGACAUAUGCUAUAUGUAUAUAAUGUUAACUCUCUUAAGGUGAUUAACAAAUUUCAUCUAUUUAGAUUAAUUACAAUUAUUUCCCUUAAAGAAUUAUAAAUAAUUGAAACGUGGUACUCGUUUAAUAUCAUGGGAAAGAAAGAUUGAAGCAAACGUUUGUGUUAUUGAAUAAUUUAGUUUUGGAAGGUUUCUUCAAAACACAAAAUAGUGAAAAGAAACUUUGUAUAUCGUUUAUUAUAGUAUUACUGAGUUAAUUACCAAAUAAAAUAUUACUAAAUAUCA